UACGGAGGGUGCGAGCGUUGUCCGGAAUCACUGGGCGUAAAGGGCGCGUAGGCGGCUUUUUAAGCGUGCGGUGAAAGCCCGGGGCUCAACCCCGGGUCGGCCGUGCGAACUGGAAAGCUCGAGCCCACUAGAGGCAGGCGGAAUUCCGGGUGUAGCGGUGGAAUGCGUAGAGAUCCGGAAGAACACCGGUGGCGAAGGCGGCCUGCUGGGGUGGAGCUGACGCUGAGGCGCGACAGCGUGGGGAGCAAACAGG
rnacentral:rRNA from 1 species